GUCUCGGUAGCUCAGUGGUUAGAGCACCUGCCAUGAGAUCGGGGUGUCGUGGGUUCGAAUCCCGCUCGAGGCA
rnacentral:tRNA from 1 species